rnacentral:misc_RNA from 1 species
CGCACAUUGCGCCCUCUGGUAUUCCGGAGGGCAUGCCUGUUCGAGCGUCAUUAUCACCCCUCAAGCCCGGCUUGUUGUUGGAUGCAGCGCUUAUCCCGCUCCUCCCAAAGAUAAUGACGGCGUCUGCGACGACUCCUGUACACUGAGCUUUCGGGCACGUACACGGCUAGAAGUCCAGACCCGGUCGCCGUCCCCCCCGCGGGGACACCCAUUACCACAAGGUUGACCUCGGAUCAGGUAGGAAUACCCGCUGAACUUAA